rnacentral:rRNA from 1 species
AACGAACGCUGGCGGCAGGCUUAACACAUGCAAGUCGAGCGCUCCGCGAGGGGAGCGGCCGACGGGUUAGUACAGCGUGGGAUCGUACCUUUUGGUUCGGAACAACUCCGGGAAACUGGAGCUAAUACCGGAUAUGCCCUCACGGGGAAAGAUUUAUCGCCGAAAGAUCGGCCCGCGUCUGAUUAGCUAGUUGGUGAGGUAACGGCUCACCAAGGCGACGAUCAGUAGCUGGUCUGAGAGGAUGAUCAGCCACACUGGGACUGAGACACGGCCCAGACUCCUACGGGAGGCAGCAGUGGGGAAUAUUGGACAAUGGGCGCAAGCCUGAUCCAGCCAUGCCGCGUGAGUGAUGAAGGCCUUAGGGUUGUAAAGCUCUUUUGUCCGGGAAGAUAAUGACUGUACCGGAAGAAUAAGCCCCGGCUAACUUCGUG